CCUGCAGAGCAUCCCUCUCCAGGCUUUAUCUCCAGUAACUGAAUGACUGGGAAGCUUUGCUUCUCCUUGUCACUUCUUCAUUAUCUUUUUACAGUACUCCAGCCCUCCAAGGAACUGAAAAACUUUCUUUUCAUCAAAUCUUGUGUAUGUUGAAAGAGGCGAAUGUGAAAUUAGAUGAUCUGUAGUUCUUUACUUGCUUGACAAGCCAUCCCAUGUCUGGUGUGAUGCUUCUCCAACACCCAACGAAGAGAUAGAGACUUGCAUUCCUUGCAACGUGUAUGCAUGAUAAGAGCCUGGCAGAGCAGAUCUUCGACCAUGAAAUCUAUCAGGCUGUGCUCUUCCACCUCUCAUCAGACUGGGCUAGACUUCACCUUCUGUUCCAGCCAUGGUGGUCUGAGUGGGGUCUGCUGAAAGCCUAAAGCAGUACGUUGGUUCUGCCAGCUCACAAAGCCUGUGUGUCCAGGUUUGGCUCUCUGUGUGCUGGCAGUGGGAAGGCAGAGACACAGGUCACCACUUUUCCUUGGCAGCUACUGUGAGGAACAGCUGGCUGCGGAAGGACGAGCUGGGAGCCAUGUGAGCUGAGGACCUGCUGAUGAGCCAAAGGGUGUUGCUGGUGCAGGCAAGGAAGACAGAUCAGACUUCAUAGUUGGGAAUGAGCCCAAGAGCAUAAAAGACAAACAGCUUUGCAGCAGCAGUCGUGCAUCUCCUUUCCAAAAGGACCCUGGAUCCUGCUCUGAUACAGUGACUGCAAAGGACAAAAGGGAAAUGUCCUUCCACCUGUUUCAGAGACUAGAAAUGGAUGGCUGAGCCUAGCCAGGGAGCACCAACAGUGAUGAGAAAGCAGGAGGAAGGUGCUGAGAAUGGCUUUAGAUCACCAAGAUUUGUCCCUUCAGCUGGGAAAACUGGGGUUGAGAGGAAAGAGAAGGCCCCCAGAAGAGCCAGAGAAGAGAACAAAGGACAAAUAAGAGUGAAAGGGUAAGAAAAAGGACAGUGAAAGAAACUCAGGGAAUUCCUACAAGAAAGAUCACCACUGUGAGCAGUGUGAUCCAGAGGGCACCUAUGUGAGCAAACCUCUCCUCCCAAAGUCGGGGGGGUGCAUGGACCCAGGACAGGGCUGCAGACUUUUCUCACUGCCAUGCCUCUGCCCCUGCAGCUGGAGGACAACCUCCGUGACCAGAAAUAGAAACCUUUCACCCCAAAUCUGUCUCCUGUGUAAUAGUAGGAGUCAUCCUCAGCCUUGGUCCAAGGAGCUGGGAUGGCUGAUGAUAUGCAGGUGUUAUUAAUAACAGGAUGAGGAAUGCUCCCCUGGAACUGGGGUUUUCUGAAUAUGGAUUUCUGAGGCCAGAGGGAUCUUUAGCUCAUCAUGUGUGACCCUACUGGUAACAGAGGCAAGAGAUCUUCACUCCAUGUCCCCUGAGAGCCCAGCAAGGUACGUAUGGCUAACACCACAACAGCCUUCAGCCCUGCUAGGAAGGCAUAGGAAGGAUCAGGGCUUUUCUUCCCCCUCUCUUGGGGAAUGUGUUCCAAAGGCUAAUCAAUUCCACACUUAAAAAUCUGUUUUCAGUUUGAAUUUCUCUGGCUUCAGCUUCUAGACUUUGGGGGUUUUGUUUUUUCAUUUUGUCUUUGCUAGUCUCAAAGCUACAUAUUUAUUUUGUCUGAAAGACUCUUAGGACAAUUUGAGAGUAAGUAGCUUUAUAAAACAGGGCUCACUAGAAGCUAGGAGUGACCCUUCUCGUGUAGCAUCCAAAGUAACAUCCUCAGUGGUAACAUCCCCAGCUGGUCCUAGGAAACAGAGGCAUUUACCAUGCUGUCCUCUGACCUACUCCAUGCCAGGACCUAAUCAAUCCAGUCCAUAAUCAGUGUCAGGGUGGCUGAGGCCACUAAUGCAGCUGAUUUCCUUCAGCUUGCUAAUAUUGGAAAGCUGCCAGUGAAGAGAGCCAGAUGUGCUAAUAAGGUGGGCUCACCUCCAGUUCCGAGGCAGUUCACAGAUACAUUGCUGUGAUGCUUUGCUGAGCAAGUAAGAACCAAAACUUUCACAUUUGAGAGAAAAGACCUGAUGAAAGGCACAGCAAAGUGCUCCACAGAACAUGGGGCCUAUGCUUAAUAUUAAUGUGUAGUUUUGUAGCUAAUUACUUCCAAUGCAUUUAGCAGUGGCCUGGCAAUCUCUCACUGACCAUCUGCACUCACAGUUACCUGCUAGUUUUUCAUAAAUCUCUUAGUAAAUAAUUGAUGGAUUUGAAAAGGAGUUGUCAGUCAUCUGA